GGGGGAUUAGCUCAUUUGGCUAGAGCGCUUGCAUGGCAUGCAAGAGGCGACCAGUUCGAAUCUGGUAUUCUCCA
rnacentral:tRNA from 1 species